AUUGAACGCUGGCGGCAUGCCUAACACAUGCAAGUCGAACGGUAACAGGUCUUCGGAUGCUGACGAGUGGCGGACGGGUGAGUAAUACAUCGGAACGUGCCCGAUCGUGGGGGAUAACGAGGCGAAAGCUUUGCUAAUACCGCAUACGAUCUACGGAGGAAAGCGGGGGAACGUCGGAGAUCGCGCGGACGGAGCGGCCGAUGGCAGAUUAGGUAGUUGGUGGGAUAAAAGCGUACCAAGCCGACGAUCUGUAGCUGGUCUGAGAGGAUGAUCAGCCACACUGGGACUGAGACACGGCCCAGACUCCUACGGGAGGCAGCAGUGGGGAAUGUUGGACAAUGGGCGAAAGCCUGAUCCAGCCAUGCCGCGUGCAGGAUGAAGGCCUUUGGGUUGUAAACUGCUUUUGUACGGAACGAAAAGCCGCUUUCUAAUAAAGAGGGGUCAUGACGGUACCGAAAGAAUAAGCACCGGCUAACUACGUG
rnacentral:rRNA from 1 species